ACAUGUAGGAGUAGUGCUUCGCUGGACGUCUGUUGACGUAUGUGUGGGCUAGCGUGUGCAUGGGUGUGUGUGCGGAGCAUCUGUCCGUCCUAUUUCUCCACCAAGUUAGCCUUCACGUGAUGGUUUCUACUUUCGUUGUCACGCACGUGCGGGCACCUCAAGGUGGUCAUCCGUGACUAAAUGGCCGCGGGAACGCCCGACCGUGCUUCUUUUUGUAUGCGUAAGCCGAGUUGGUCGUCUUCAUCGCACGUCUUCUGCGCCGGAUAUCUCCAUCGAGCAUGCGUCGGCAGCGCUGGCGUUGGAGCCGUAAACUUCAUUUUGGCCGUCAAAUUCACGCGGUCACUUUUAGCGGUUACACCUGGGUGAGCGGUUGCCGCCAGCUCUCGUCUCCAUGCUCUCUUGCGCCGCCACUGCUGCCCACCGGUGUGUGCACGCUGAGCUCGGCUGAGAAGAGGGCGUCUUGCUGACGAUACUGCUGAGCUCACUCACGUGACACGUCGUUUCGCGCGGCCGCCUGCUCCCCUACAUCGCCAUACAAAGAUAAUUAUCCAGUGCGCGCGGAGAGGACGACCGUGGCGCCAAUGUUUUGUUGCUGUUCCACCAGUGUCGUCUCCACGCCACCGCCACCACUGCUCGCUCCCUCAUUUUUUUCUACGCUGCUCCAUCUGGCCUGCCGCUUCUUUGCAUCCACACAG
rnacentral:misc_RNA from 1 species